AUGUCAAACAAAUUUGUAGUUGCUUUGUUGUUGGUGGUUGUGUGCCUUGUAACUGUUCAAGGUCAGAAUAUUACCUAUAAUGCAGGUUCAGGUGAACUCGGUGUGUCUCAUGAAGAUUGCUUCGAUUAUUGCACCAAUGAUAGUAAAUUGCCCGCAUGGCUUAUAGAGUUUUUAUGUGGAGGACUUUGUCAUGUGUUCAAUCAUAUCCGACUCUUUUGA